rnacentral:tRNA from 1 species
GCGUCGGUGGUAUAGUGGUUAGCAGAGCUGCCUUCCAAGCAGUUGACCUGGGUUCGAUUCCCGGCCGACGCA